UACGAAGGGUGCAAGCGUUUGUUCGGAAUCAUUGGGCGUAAAGCGCGCGUAGGCGGCCCUGUAAGUCCGUUGUGAAAGUCAAAGGCUCAACCUUUGAAAGCCGAUGGAUACUGCAGGGCUAGAGUCCGGAAGAGGCGAGUGGAAUUCCUGGUGUAGCGGUGGAAUGCGCAGAUAUCAGGAGGAACACCAAUAGCGAAGGCAGCUCGCUGGGACGGUACUGACGCUAAGGCGCGAAAGCGUGGGGAGCGAACAGG
rnacentral:rRNA from 1 species